GGUGUCAUGGGGAAGCACGCCCGACAGAUCCACGUUACUGCUUGUCCCCGGGACAGAGUGCGGGAAAUCAAUGCGGUUCAAAUACGUUCAUGGAUGCAGGAGUGCUAAUUCCCUCCAGAUUUCGCCCGAAGGCGCAGGUUUCAAGGCUGCACACGGUGACUGAGCAUCCUAACAUUUCAAAAUUCAAAGGUUCAAGCUUCAAGGUUUUACUUCAAAAAGGCUGUUUCCCAAUUAAGAGACCACACGCUUGAAAUACGCACA
ensembl:lncRNA